UACGUAGGGUGCAGGCGUUAAUCGGAAUUACUGGGCGUAAAGCGUGCGCAGGCGGUUUGUUAAGACAGGUGUGAAAUCCCCGGGCUUAACCUGGGAACUGCGCUUGUUACUGGCAGACUUGAGUGUAGCAGAGGGGGGUGGAAUUCCACGUGUAGCAGUGAAAUGCGUAGAGAUGUGGAGGAACACCGAUGGCGAAGGCAGCCCCCUGGGUCAAGACUGACGCUCAUGCACGAAAGCGUGGGGAGCAAACAGG
rnacentral:rRNA from 1 species